UUUGUAGGUGGUCUGCUAAGUCAGACGUGAAAUCCCUCAGCUUAACUGGGGAACUGCGUCUGAGACUGGCAGACUUGAGGGCAGGAGAGGAACGCGGAAUUCCAGGUGUAGCGGUGAAAUGCGUAGAUAUCUGGAGGAACACCGGUGGCGAAGGCGGCGUUCUGGACUGUUUCUGACACUGAAAAACGAAAGCCAGGGGAGCAAACGGGAUUAGAUACCCCGGUAGUCCUGGCCCUAAACGAUGAAUGCUUGGUGUGGCGGGUAUCGAUCCCUGCCGUGCCGUAGUUAACGCGUUAAGCAUUCCGCCUGGGGAGUACGGUCGCAAGGCUGAA
rnacentral:rRNA from 1 species